rnacentral:tRNA from 1 species
GUCCCUGUUUUGCAAUGGAUAGCGCGUUGGUCUUCCAAUCCAAAGGUCGUGGGAUCUAAUCCCACCUGGGAUA